UAGGGAAUCUUCGGCAAUGGGGGGAACCCUGACCGAGCAACGCCGCGUGAGUGAAGAAGGUUUUCGGAUCGUAAAGCUCUGUUGUUAAGGAAGAACGAGUGUGAGAAUGGAAAGUUCAUGCUGUGACGGUACUUAACCAGAAAGGGACGGCUAACUACGUGCCAGCAGCCGCGGUAAUACGUAGGUCCCGAGCGUUGUCCGGAAUCAUUGGGCGUAAAGGGUACGUAGGCGGAUAAGCAAGUUAGAAGUGAAAUCCUAUAGCUCAACUAUAGUAAGCUUUUAAAACUGCUCAUCUUGAGGUAUGGAAGGGAAAGUGGAAUUCCUAGUGUAGCGGUGAAAUGCGCAGAUAUUAGGAGGAAUACCGGUGGCGAAGGCGACUUUCUGGCCAUAUACUGACGCUGAGGUACGAAAGCGUGGGUAGCAAACAGG
rnacentral:rRNA from 1 species